GAAGUUUGAUCAUGGCUCAGGAUGAACGCUGGCGGCGUGCCUUAAGCAUGCAAGUCGAACGGCGCAGCAAUGCGCAGUGGCGGACGGUCGAGUAACGCGUGGGGAUCUGCCUUAAAGUUGGACAUAGCUUUCCGAAAGGGGAGGUAAUUUCCAAUGUGAACGUAAGUUCAAAGUCGCAAGACGCUUUAAGAUGAACCCGCGUCCUAUCAGCUAGUUGGUGGGGUAAAAGCCUACCAAGGCAUCGACGGGUAGCUGGUCUGAGAGGAUGAUCAGCCGGAAUAGCACUGAGACACGGGCUAUACACCUACGGGUGGCAGCAACUGGGAAUCUUGCGCAAUGGACGAAAGUCUGACGCAGCGACGCCGCGUGGAGGAUUGAAGGCCCUCGGGUUGUAAACUCCUUUUAUGUGGGAAGAUUAUGACGGUACCACAAGAAUAAGCACCUGCUAACUACGUGCCAGAAGCCUCGGUAAUACGUAGGGUGCAAGCGUUAUCCGGAUUUAUUGGGCGUAAAGUGCUGCGUAGGCUGGUUUGCGCAUUUUGUUUAAAAGCUCAAGGCUUAACCUUGAGUUUGGGCAAAAUAUGGCAAAUCUUGAUGGCUUAAGAGGGUACUGGAACUGAUUAUGUAGCAGUGAAAUGCGUUGAUAUGAUCAGGAACACCAAAGGCGUAGGCAGGUACCUGGGAAGCACAUGACGCUGAGGCACGACAGCUAGGGUAGCGAAGCAGAUUAGAGACCUGCGUAGUCCUAGCCGUAAACGAU
rnacentral:rRNA from 1 species